AUUGAGCUGCUCGAAGGCCGAUGAGGUCUGUCUCCUAGUUGCGGCCACUGUCUAAGGUGGUGAAUCAUUCAGUGAAUCAAUGCUCUUGGAGUAAUCCUAAGCUGUCAGCUGCUGGUGGUAUUCUAUGUUAUCAUCGGAGUGUGGUUCUAACAGCUUUUAGCUUUUUUUUUUUCUUAGGUACCAACCGAUUCUUUAUGCUGAGCAAAUGGCUAUUUGUGAGCAUUUGGAGCUUGCUACUCAGCUUGAUUACCUUGUACCUGAGGUGGAGUUUAACUCGGCUACAAUGGUUUCUUGGAUUACUUCUCGUGGUUCUGUGCAAUAGGUUUGUGUCUAUUUUCUUGGUUGAGUCCAAGCCAUGUCUUAUUCUCUCUCUUUCAUGGUCAGUCAUGUUUUUCGUGAGCCUACUCGUGCAGUUGAUUUUUUAUGACUAAUUGAGCUUGUUCUCUCUUUCACGGUUCAUUAGUGUUUCUUGAGUCCUCAGGGUUUGCAUAUUGAUUUGCUUUUUUUUUUUUUUCCAUUCUUCUAGAUGCGUAGGAGUUCCCUAAUGUUAGGAUUUAGUUUUACUCUUUGUUAGUUUGCUUUUGAUUGUUGUUUUUAGGUUUUAUGUUUCGUUUGAUGAUCUAUAAGUAGGAUUCCUUCCUAACCCCCACCAUUAC
rnacentral:lncRNA from 1 species